UGGGAACGAAGCAAGAAGGAACUCUGCAAAGGUGACUAGCUAACAGAUGCAAGCAACAACCUUGCUUCCUUCUUUCUUCUGCAAUAACAGUGAGCUCAUACUGUUCAAGUUGACUUCAUCCAGAGGUUCAAAUACUAAGACUAGAAAGAAUGCCUAUGGCUUUGCAAGCAUUGAUAUGGUGGCCCAUAAUUGGGCUGAUGAAAUGCAGCCGCAGUGCAGCAUGUAGGCUGUGAAGACACAGAUUGCAGCUGAUGUUUAUCAUGUUCAGCAACUAGAGGAGACAAGCUAAAAGUGGAAAACUGUGUAAGAUGCACAA